rnacentral:rRNA from 1 species
GGAGUUAAGAAAUGUAGAUACGCUAAUAUCGUAUCUAUUUGACAAAGGCUCCAAAGGAAAGCACGGCUAACUCUGUGCCAGCAGCCGCGGUAAUACAGAGGUGGCAAGCGUUGUUCGGAAUUAUUGGGCGUAAAGAGCACGUAGGUGGAUUUGUAAGUCAGAUGUGAAAGCCUUCUGUUCAACGGGAGAAUUGCAUCUGAAACUACAAACCUUGAGUAUAGGAGGGGAGAGUGGAAC